AGUACAGUAAGCUAAUUAAGCUAUUGGGCCCAUACCCCAAGUAUGACGGUUAAAAUCCUUCCUUUACUA
rnacentral:tRNA from 1 species